CCCUUAGAUGCCCUGGGCUGCACGCGCGCUACACUGAUGUGUCCAGUAAGCACCUAACCUCUUCCGAAAGGAACGGGUAACCUUUGCAAAGCACAUCGUGAUGGGGAUAGAUUAUUGCAAUUAUUAGUCUUGAACGAGGAAUUCCUAGUAAGCACAAGUCAUCAGCUUGUGUUGAUUACGUCCCUGCCCUUUGUACACACCGCCCGUCGCUCCUACCGAUUGAAUGUUCCGGUGAGCUCUUCGGACUGCGCGGUCUGCAGUUUCUGCGUUCCGUGCGGAAAGUUGCGCAAACCUUAACAUUUAGAGGAAGGAGAAGUCGUAACA
rnacentral:rRNA from 1 species